AAGAGAAUAACGUUAGUACGGACAAAAUAGAACAAAGCUCGCGCCUGCCGGAGGUUAUUAUACCUUGUGUUCAUCUAACCGCAUCCUGUUUUAGGCCAAAUACAUAACUGAACGGAAGCUUGACACGGUUGACAGAUUCACGCCUCCUAUGAACUCGAACAGUUGUACGUAUUGAUUUUAAACCAGAUAUUAUUCUUCGGACUUCAUCACAUUUUGGGAGUUAUGUAGAGAUUUCAGCACUUUUGAGGAGACUCUCCGUUAUAUAGAAGGUAAGUUUGCUGAAUUGUAUGUUUUGAAGAUCCUUCUUUAUUCUAUGCCAUUCAGAUUAGGGUUACUCGCCAAUCAAAUCGAUCUCCUGACUGCAGACAGUACACAGGUAAAUGGAAGUACAAGAAUGGUUCCAAAGUCAACAUAUUUGUCAAACAAAAUGGUUUAACAAAUAGAUAUUCCUUUAGAGUCGAUCUUAUAAAGUGUAUACCCUAAAUCUAGGAUAUGAUUAUGGUUUAAUUAUACAAUAUUGAGAAAUAACCCUAAAGAGAUUUCAGGUUUCCAAAGCCAACACUAACAUUUGUCAUGUUUCUUUACAUAUCUUUGUAAGGUUAGAUCUAAUUAAAUGUGUAAGUUAUGUUUGAAUCAACAACACAAGCAGUCGAGCUAUAAAAAGUUAUCACAAGUUCUGAAAACCUUUUUUUGUUAUUGUCAGAAAUGUUGUAUAUUGAUAUUUAUUUGGUUAAGAUUUUUACAUUCCCCUGCAUUUCAACCAAACCAGAGGAUAUUGGGGUAUUUUAAAAGUAUGUAACCUAAAACUAUCCAUACAGCAAGAACUCACAAAUAAA